rnacentral:rRNA from 1 species
UACGUAGGUGACCAGCGUUGUCCGGAUUUACUGGGCGUAAAGAGCGCGCAGGCGGUCGUUCAAGUCGAGUGUGAAAGCCCCCGGCUCAACUGGGAAGGGUCAUUCGAUACUGAUCGACUUGAAGGCAGGAGAGGGAAGCGGAAUUCCCGGUGUAGUGGUGAAAUGCGUAGAUAUCGGGAGGAACACCAGUGGCGAAGGCGGCUUCCUGGCCUGUUCUUGACGCUGAGGCGCGAAAGCUAGGGGAGCAAACGGGGAUUAAGAAACC